GACGAACGCUGGCGGCGUGCCUAAUACAUGCAAGUUGAGCGAUGAAGAUUGGUGCUUGCACCAAUUUGAAGAGCAGCGCACGGGUGAGUAACGCGUGGGGAAUCUGCCUUUGAGCGGGGGACAACAUUUGGAAACGAAUGCUAAUACCGCAUAAUAACUUUAAACAUAAGUUUUAAGUUUGAAAGAUGCAAUUGCAUCACUCAAAGAUGAUCCCGCGUUGUAUUAGCUAGUUGGUGAGGUAAAGGCUCACCAAGGCGAUGAUACAUAGCCGACCUGAGAGGGUGAUCGGCCACAUUGGGACUGAGACACGGCCCAAACUCCUACGGGAGGCAGCAGUAGGGAAUCUUCGGCAAGAGACGAAAGUCUGACCGAGCAACGCCGCGUGAGUGAAGAAGGUUUUCGGAUCGUAAAACUCUGUUGGUAGAGAAGAACGUUGGUGAGAGUGGAAAGCUCAUCAAGUGACGGUAACUACCCAGAAAGGGACGGCUAACUACGUG
rnacentral:rRNA from 1 species